AAUUCAGCUGUGUGACUGGAUGGGAUGGAGCCUGGCUCUACCUUUCCUGGACCCCAUUUAAGGGCUGACUGCCACUGGGUAAGGGUGUCUUUCUGGAGAUCCUUCUUCUGUGGAGUCUUUCCUGUGAAUCUGGAUUUCAGAUACAGGUAAAGAACCACCAUCCUGUCUCACAAUACAUAUUGGACUGUAUCAUUUUACUUUCGAAGGAUAUUGAAGUCAUACAUGGAAAGGGUACCUGCAGGAACGUGGUUAAAAGAGUUGAUAUGCUUCACUGACUGAAAA